UGGCUUAGGACGAACGCUGGCGGCGUGCCUAAUACAUGCAAGUCGAACGGUCUUUCUAUGGAAGCUUGCUUCCACUGAGAAGAUAGUGGCGGACGGGUGAGUAACACGUGGGUAACCUGCCCAUAAGAGGGGGAUAACAUCCGGAAACGGGUGCUAAUACCGCAUAGUUUUCUUGAUCGCAUGAUUGAGAAAGGAAAGACGGCCUUUGUGCUGUCGCUUAUGGAUGGACCCGCGGCGUAUUAGUUAGUUGGUGAGGUAAUGGCUCACCAAGACGAUGAUACGUAGCCGACCUGAGAGGGUGAUCGGCCACAUUGGGACUGAGACACGGCCCAAACUCCUACGGGAGGCAGCAGUAGGGAAUCUUCCGCAAUGGACGAAAGUCUGACGGAGCAACGCCGCGUGAGUGAAGAAAAGGUUUUCGGAUCGUAAAACUCUGUUGUCAGAGAAGAACAAGUUGGAGAGUAACUGCUCCAGCCUUGACGGUAUCUGACCAGAAAGCCACGGCUAACUACGUGCCAGCCGCCGC
rnacentral:rRNA from 1 species